CCUGCCACAACUCAGUUUAAUGAAUAUUUAAUGGCAGUAUAAUGUAGCUAUUUUUAACAAAUAGAUGACAACUGCACAAAAACAAAACAAAACAAAAAAGAAAGGCUUCACAAAUGGUGACACUGGAUUCAUGCAAUGCAGGGGGGAAAAAAGUCACAAAAACAGAAACAUGAGCAAGCAUGUAUGAUGAACUAAAGCUCAUCAAAAAUUAAUAUUAGAAAAUGUUUUGAAAUUAAGACAAAGAGGGGAAUUAAAAGUAGAGAAAUAUUCUAGAAGAGUGCAACACACCUCCAGGAUUUCUGCUUUAGGCACCUCCAGAUUUGCCUCCAAGCAAGGAGAGCGAGAGCUCCAUGGAGGCCCUGGCUGAGGCCGAAGCCGUGACAAGCCUUCCUGGCUCAAGCAGGCUUGCAGGGUACUGCAGUGGAGGAACUCGGCAGGAAAUGACAGCGAGAAGGCCUGAGACGGAGAAUAGCAGCCCAAGAGGAAGAGGAGGAAGAGGGGCAGCAGGAAAUGCCAACAACCCAGGGGCUGUGGCAGGCCAGGAAGCCCGGGAGGAGUGCUCUGCGCGGGAGAAAGUGGCCAAGGGAGAGGCGGUGAAGAUGAAGAGAGGCUGCCAUGCUGUCCCUCCACUUCUGGGUGUUGCUGUCUUUUGAGCUGCACUUUUGAGAAAAGCUUCCAAGGAAUUCCAAUUUCAAAAGUUCUAGCUCCAAAGCUAAGGAGAUAGGUCUUUAGCUAUUGGAAGAGGGCUGUUUUUUGCCUUCUUCCCCUGCUCUGCCACCCCUGUGCGCUGUUGCCUUGCGUGCCCUGCCACCCUGUCCCCUCUGGCCGU